rnacentral:piRNA from 1 species
UCCCUGGCUUGGCUGCAGCUGCAGUC